UACGGAGGGGACUAGCGUUGUUCGGAAUUACUGGGCGUAAAGCGCACGUAGGCGGAUUUGUAAGUCAGGGGUGAAAUCCCGAGGCUCAACCUCGGAACUGCCUUUGAUACUGCAAAUCUCGAGUCCGGAAGAGGUGAGUGGAAUUCCUAGUGUAGAGGUGAAAUUCGUAGAUAUUCGCGAGAACACCAGUGGCGAAGGCGGCUCACUGGCCCGAUACUGACGCUGAGGCACGAAAGCGUGGGGAGCAAACAGG
rnacentral:rRNA from 1 species